CACUGCUUGUCGUUUCUAUCAAUUGAAUGAUCUGGUGAAGUGUUCAAAUUGUAACAAUGUUAACAAUUUACCGCUGGCAAUGCUAUGAGAAGUUUAUUAAACCUUAUCAAGGAAGGAGAAAGCAUAACAAAGUUUCCAUAGGUAAACCUACAAAAA
rnacentral:ncRNA from 1 species